CCUACGGGGUGCAGCAGUGAGGAAUAUUGGUCAAUGGGCGAGAGCCUGAACCAGCCAAGUCGCGUGAGGGAAGACGGUCCUAUGGAUUGUAAACCUCUUUUGCCGGGGAGCAAAAAGCGGUACGCGUACCGCAUCGAGAGUACCCGGAGAAAAAGCAUCGGCUAACUCCGUGCCAGCAGCCGCGGUAAUACGGAGGAUGCGAGCGUUAUCCGGAUUUAUGGGGUUUAAAGGGUGCGCAGGCGGCGAGUUAAGUCAGCGGUAAAAUUUCGGGGCUCAACCCCGUCAAGCCGUUGAAACUGGCUAGCUUGAGUGGGCGAGAGGUAUGCGGAAUGCGUGGUGUAGCGGUGAAAUGCAUAGAUAUCACGCAGAACUCCGAUUGCGAAGGCAGCAUACCGGCGCCCAACUGACGCUGAGGCACGAAAGCGUGGGUAUCGAACAGGAUUAGAUACCCGAGUAGUC
rnacentral:rRNA from 1 species